GACGGGUGAGUAACACGUAGGUAACCUGCCCAGAARCGGGGGACAACAUUUGGAAACAGAUGCUAAUACCGCAUAACARCGUUGUUCKCAUGAACAACGCUUAAAAGAUGGCUUCUCGCUAUCACUUCUGGAUGGACCUGCGGUGCAUUAGCUUGUUGGUGGGGUAACGGCCUACCAAGGCGAUGAUGCAUAGCCGAGUUGAGAGACUGAUCGGCCACAAUGGGACUGASACACGGCCCAUACUCCUACGGGAGGCAGCAGUAGGGAAUCUUCCACAAUGGGCGCAAGCCUGAUGGAGCAACACCGCGUGAGUGAAGAAGGGUUUCGGCUCGUAAAGCUCUGUUGUUAAAGAAGAACACGUAUGAGAGUAACUGUUCAUACGUUGACGGUAUUUAACCAGAAAGUCACGGCUAACUACGUGCCAGCAGCCGCGGUAAUACGUAGGUGGCAAGCGUUAUCCGGAUUUAUUGGGCGUAAAGAGAGUGCWGGCGGUUUUCUAAGUCUGAUGUGAAAGCCUUCGGCUUAACCGGAGAAGUGCAUCGGAAACUGGAUAACUUGAGUGCAGAAGAGGGUASUGGAACUCCAUGUGUAGCGGUGGAAUGCGUAGAUAUAUGGAAGAACACCAGUGGCGAASGCGGCUACCUGGUCUGCAACUGACGCUGAGACUCGAAAGCAUGGGUAGCGAACAGGAUUAGAUACCCUGGUAGUCCAUGCCGUAAACGAUGAGUGCUAGGUGUUGGAGGGUUUCCGCCCUUCAGUGCCGGAGCUAACGCAUUAAGCACUCCGCCUGGGGAGUACGACCGCAAGGUUGAAACUCAAAGGAAUUGACGGGGGCCCGCACAAGCGGUGGAGCAUGUGGUUUAAUUCGAAGCUACGCGAAGAACCUUACCAGGUCUUGACAUCUUGCGCCAACCCUAGAGAUAGGGCGUUUCCUUCGGGAACGCAAUGAC
rnacentral:rRNA from 1 species